rnacentral:rRNA from 1 species
GAUGAACGCUAGCGGCAGGCUUAACACAUGCAAGUCGAGGGGUAGAGGAAGCUUGCUUCCUUGAGACCGGCGCACGGGUGCGUAACGCGUAUGCAACCUACCUUUUACAGAGGGAUAGCCCAGAGAAAUUUGGAUUAAUACCUCAUGGUAUAUAUCAUUCGCAUGUUUGAUAUAUUAAAGUUCCAACGGUAAAAGAUGGGCAUGCGUCCUAUUAGCUAGAUGGUAAGGUAACGGCUUACCAUGGCAACGAUAGGUAGGGGUCCUGAGAGGGAGAUCCCCCANACUGGUACUGAGACACGGACCAGACUCCUACGGGAGGCAGCGGU